AGAGUUUGAUCAUGGCUCAGAGCGAACGCUGGCGGCGUACUUAACACAUGCAAGUCGAACGGGGAUCAUUGUGUGAGCAAUCAUGUGAUGGUCCUAGUGGCGCACGGGUGAGUAACACGUGGGUAACCUGCCCUCGAGACUGGGAUACCCCCUCGAAAGGGGGGCUAAUACCGGAUACGUUCCCUGGAUCGAAAGAUCUGAGGAAGAAAGGUGGCGCAAGCUGCCGCUCUUGGAGGGGCUCGCGGCCUAUCAGCUAGUUGGCGGGGUAACGGCCCACCAAGGCUAUGACGGGUAGCUGGUCUGAGAGGACGACCAGCCACACGGGGACUGAGACACGGCCCCGACUCCUACGGGAGGCAGCAGUGGGGAAUUUUCCGCAAUGGGCGAAAGCCUGACGGAGUGACGCCGCGUGUGGGAUGAAGGCCUUCGGGUCGUAAACCACUGUCAGUGGGAAAGAUGGGUGUCGGCGCGAUAACCGCCGGCAUCUGACGGUACCUGCAGAGGAAGCCCCGGCUAACUCUGUGCCAGCAGCCGCGGUAAGACAGGGGGGGCAAGCGUUGCUCGGAAUUACUGGGCGUAAAGGGCGCGUAGGCGGGAUGGCAAGUCGGUCGUGAAAUCCCUCGGCUCAACUGAGGAGCGUCGAUCGAAACUGCCGUUCUUGAGGGUUGCAGAGGAGACUGGAAUUCCCGGUGUAGCGGUGAAAUGUGUAGAGAUCGGGAGGAACACCGGUGGCGAAGGCGGGUCUCUGGGCAACUCCUGACGCUGAGGCGCGAAAGCGUGGGGAGCAAACGGGAUUAGAUACCCUAGUAGUCC
rnacentral:rRNA from 1 species